UACAGAGACCCCAAGCAUUAUCCGGAUUUAUUGGGCGUAAAGCGUUCGUAGGCGGUUUCGUAAGUCAUUUGUUAAAUCUUCAGGCUUAACCUGGAGGCUGCGGGUGAUACUGCGAGGCUAGAGUAUGGGAGAGGUUAGCGGAAUGCCUAGUGUAGCGGUAAAAUGCGUUAAUAUUAGGUAGAACACCAAAUGCGAAAGCAGCUAACUGGAACAUUACUGACGCUCAGUGAACGAAAGCGUGGGUAGCGAAAGGG
rnacentral:rRNA from 1 species